rnacentral:tRNA from 1 species
GGGCCGGUAGUCCAGCCUGGUAAGCAUGCAAAUGCGCAGAACGGACGUCGCCCUCACACGGCGAAGGUCGUGGGUUCAAAUCCCUCCCGGCCCACCA